rnacentral:tRNA from 1 species
GGAACUAUACUCAAAUGGUUAAGAGGGCGAAUUGAUAAUUCGCUAGGUCAGUUUAUAGCUGGUGUGCGGGUUCGAAUCCCGCUAGUUAAA